rnacentral:rRNA from 1 species
GCAAGUCGAGCGAACAGAGAAGGAGCUUGCUCCUUUGACGUUAGCGGCGGACGGGUGAGUAACACGUGGGCAACCUACCCUAUAGUUUGGGAUAACUCCGGGAAACCGGGGCUAAUACCGAAUAAUUUAUUUCAUCUCAUGGUGAAAUACUGAAAGACGGUUUCGGCUGUCGCUAUAGGAUGGGCCCGCGGCGCAUUAGCUAGUUGGUGAGGUAACGGCUCACCAAGGCGACGAUGCGUAGCCGACCUGAGAGGGUGAUCGGCCACACUGGGACUGAGACACGGCCCAGACUCCUACGGGAGGCAGCAGUAGGGAAUCUUCCACAAUGGGCGAAAGCCUGAUGGAGCAACGCCGCGUGAGUGAAGAAGGAUUUCGGUUCGUAAAACUCUGUUGUAAGGGAAGAACAAGUACAGUAGUAACUGGCUGUACCUUGACGGUACCUUAUUAGAAAGCCACGGCUAACUACGUGCCAGCAGCCGCGGUAAUACGUAGGUGGCAAGCGUUGUCCGGAAUUAUUGGGCGUAAAGCGCGCGCAGGUGGUUUCUUAAGUCUGAUGUGAAAGCCCACGGCUCAACCGUGGAGGGUCAUUGGAAACUGGGAGACUUGAGUGCAGAAGAGGAUAGUGGAAUUCCAAGUGUAGCGGUGAAAUGCGUAGAGAUUUGGAGGAACACCAGUGGCGAAGGCGACUAUCUGGUCUGUAACUGACACUGAGGCGCGAAAGCGUGGGGAGCAAACAGGAUUA